AGAUCGUUGGGAAACGUACUCGUUACCAUCUUGAUGGUUCCAAGAUCAUGAAGGUCUACUUGGAGGCCAAGGAGAGGAACAACACAGAGUACAAGCUCGAGUCUAUGAUGGGUGUGUACCGGAAACUCACCGGAAAGGAUGUCACCUUUGAGUACCCUGUUGAAGCUUGAAGGUGAUGCUGAAGAAUCAUCAUCAGGAUAGAGAAGAGAGAGAGAGCUUUUGAUUCUGUUUUGUGGUGUCUAGGAUGAAGUUUUGAUUUCAGUUCCUUAUUCACAAUCUUCAUAUUACAAAGACUACUUUCUGUGCUUUUCAGUUUUGAAACCCAUCUUAAUGACUACUUCCUCAUGCUCAAAUACCCUCAACUAUACUUGAGAAAGUCCUUGUGGUUAUUAUAAGGCAAGUAUUCAGAACUGUGUCAUUGCUCUUACCUCCAGUGCUCGAAACUAAAACAAAAUGGACCAAAACUGUGUCAUUGCUUUUUCUAAUAACUUGUACAAUGGACUCAAGUAAUUAGCUAAUAACGAGAAAUGGAUUCAAUCACACUACAGUCUACAUAUUGGCUUUCCUUUCCCACCUUUCCUUAGUAUCAAGCCUGUUCCAAAGACAAAACAUUGCAUGAGAGUGAGGUUUCUCGUUAAAGCUCUUAGUACAAAAAGAGAGAGAGAGAGAGAGAGAGAGAGAGAGAGAGGUUGUUACCCCCAAUACAGCUUCUGUGGCUUCAUUGGUGCUGCUGGCUGCUGUUCUAAGGUAGUAGUAGAAGAAGAAGAAGAAGUUGACUCUUUCAAUACUUUAGAGCUUUCGCCAUCUUCCACUGCUCUUCUCUGCUGCUUAGCUUUAGGUUUCUUUGAAUUGGCUUUUAUCUUCAUACGUCUCUUGUGUAGCUCCUGUUAUAACAUUUAACCAAAUGAGACUACUACACAUAACAUAUGAAGUGAUUCGGUUUACCCAAACCGCAAACUAAACCAAUAAACCGAUGCUUAAUCUCAAAAAUUAAAACCGAACCGUAUUAAUUUCAUAAAUUUCGUAACUGAUGCGGAGGCUUUGAGAAUCCGACCUGUAAUUUGGAUAUCUGUUUCUGGGUGACGUUGGAUCGGUUGAAAUUAGGCUGAAGAGACUGUGUUGACGCUAACAAUGCUUCUUUUCGAUUCUCCUCUGCUUCUUCUCUCUCUAUUUCCUCUCUCUUCCUCGUCGUCGCCGUCAAGGUUUCUCCCUCGUCGUCCAUCGCUGGUUCUUCGAUAAAUUUUUAGAAUGUUGAAAACGACGCCGGACCGGCGUUUAUACCCCCUCACUCUUUUAUAUGUUUUAUCCAAAAUUACCCGUAUGUUUUGAAUUAGUACAUAAUAAACCUAACAGUUUCUGGAAUUAUCAAUUACACCCAAAAUAUAAUAAUGAAGCUUUUUCUUUUUUUUGUCAAAACACACAAAUUAAUUUUAAAUAAUGAUCGUGACAGAGUUGUAAUACUAACGCAAAUCACUAAACAUAUGUUCUUGUCAAACUUUUAUAUAAUUAACUAAUGGUUUCAAGAUUGAUUACAUUAACGUAAAUACUAGUUAUUGUAUCACUGAUCGUGCCGAUACAAGUAGAAUUCUCCAGCUUGGUCUUUAUUUAAUUAGUUAUUUAAUUUUGUUCCUAAAAAAAAGGUCUUUAUUUAAUUACUUGUGACUUGACUAAGCCAAAUUAAUUAGUCCUUGGAAUCACCAGUAGAGGUGUAACUAUCAUGCUUGAUUUAAGAUAUUUGAUGUAUUAAUAAUCGCCCUUGUAUUUUUUUUAAACAUACUAGGUAUGUUUCCGCGCUACGCGCGGAUUAUGUAGUUAUAUAUAUAUAUAUAUAUAUAUAUUUUUAGAUAAAUAUAAAUAUAUGUUAUUGAUGGUUUAAUCAUUUUGUAGUAAAAAAACUACAAACUUUAUACACGAAGUAGGAUAAAAUUUUGUUGAUGAUUUCAUUUGGCUGUAAUUGGAAAAAUUAUUGUUGGUCAUUUUGAAUAGGAUUAAGUAAGAAAUAAAUUAUAUUAUUGAUAGAUGGUUAACAGUUCUACUUGGUGUAGCAUAAAAAUAAGAAUUAUUAUAGAAUUUUUGUUGAGCAAAGAAUAACAUCAAAUACAUGACGUCAAAAUAUAAACAAUGUAUUGGCUGUUGAAAGAAAUUAACCGAAGACAUUGGCUUUGUUAAAUCAAGUGGUGGACUUGCAUGUGGUGCAGCAGACUUUGGUUCCAUUGUUUUUCUUUCUGGUUUUAUCUUUAUAAAUUUGUAUGAAGCUCUUAAUAUUCUCCGUCUUUUGUUAAAGUAAAUCGGGUUCUUUAAGUAGAAGUGGGUACCAAUUUCCCUAAAUUUAUAACGAAAGUAAUAGAAUAUUGUUAAGUUACAAAAAAAAAGUAAUAGGAUAUUGUUUAAGGUUAAAAUUUAUAUGCUUUAUUUUUGAAUGUUUGGUUUAAUGCUUGUGGCGAAGUCAAAUUUAUGUUUGCAAGAUUGUAUGUUUUGCAAAAACAAAAUAGUUUACAUAAUAUUUUCCGGUAAAUUAUUUAGUUAUUAAAAUUACUCUAAACCUAUCUAAGUUACAAUGGAUUUACAAUUUUUUUUAAAAAUAUAUAAUUAUAAUGUACUAACUUAUUAUAUUGUAAGUAAAUACCUCUACUAAAAUAUUUAUCUUGUAAUUGAAAAUAAAUAAUUAUUUGAUCUCUAUCUAAUUAUAUAAGUAAUUGUUUUAAAUAUACUUAUUUAUCUUGCAUUUAUUUAGAUGGUUAUUUUUUAAUAAAAAUACAUUAAUUAAAAAUAUCCUUAAAAUUUAAUUUCAUAUAAUUUUAUGAAAAUAUAGUUUCAUAUCUUAGAUAAAGAACUUAACUAAAUGCAAUGAAAAAAAUUAAUCUGAUUUGGAUGAAUUAUUAUCAGAAAUAUUGUAAUUCAGUUUAGAGCGAUAUAUGUAAUUCAACACAUCUGAAAGUUAAUUACCGAACCAAUCUAAAAUUCUUAUACCAAAAUCAAAAUUUAACUAAAAUAAAAAUAGUGUUAUUUAAAAUAAUUUUAUUUAUUUAUAUACAUUUAAAUUACGGAAUGAUUCAAGAUCUAUUAAUAAAUGCAACUGAUGGUGUAAUGUUAGAGCUUUUAUGUAAUUGGUCUAAAGAUGGGGGCUUUAGGUGUUUUAUGUGGAUGGUAUCAUGGUUUAUAGGAAUACAAAACAUGCUCUAGUAUCUAUGAUUGAAUAUAUAAUUUACUUAUCAAUUAGAAAGCUAAGUUCUUUGAUUUGGUAACGUGUAUUGUAAGAAUUAUUUUUUUUUGAAAAUGAUGAUUAGAAUCUAGAAGCUAUAUAUAUAUAUAUAUAUAGUCCAUGGUUUUGAGGAUUUGUUAGUUCGUAUGCCUGAAGCAUUUGCCUUUUUUUUUGACAAAUGAAGAUUCUGUGAAGAUGUUCUCGGCGCAGAACAAGAUCAAGAAGGACAAGAAUGCUGCUCCAACGGAAUGCGAGGAGCAAGUUGCUCAGGCUCUGUUUGAUUUGGAGAACACCAACCAGGAGUUGAAGAGCGAGUUGAAAGAUCUUUACAUCAACCAAGCUGUGUAUGUUUCUUUCCCGUAGGUUGCAUUAGGCUUUAACAAAGUAUAAUAAUUUGGUUUUGUUUAUUGCAGUAACAUGGACAUCGCUGGAAACCGCAAGGCUAUUGUGAUAUACGUCCCAUUCAGAUUGAGGAAAGCCUUCCGCAAGAUUCAUCCCCGUCUCGUUAGAGAGCUUGAGAAGAAGUUUAGUGGAAAGGUACAAACACUUGACCUAAUGAGUAUAUAUUGCAAUGUCUCUUAUUAAUACUCUUUGUCAUUUCCUUCUUUUUAGGAUGUUAUCUUUGUUGCUACAAGAAGGAUCAUGCGUCCACCAAAGAAGGGUGCUGCUGUGCAGAGGCCACGCAACAGAACUCUAACCUCUGUCCAUGAAGCUAUGCUCGAGGAUGUCGCUUACCCUGCUGAGAUCGUUGGGAAACGUACUCGUUACCAUCUUGAUGGUUCCAAGAUCAUGAAGGUCUACUUGGAGGCCAAGGAGAGGAACAACACAGAGUACAAGCUCGAGUCUAUGAUGGGUGUGUACCGGAAACUCACCGGAAAGGAUGUCACCUUUGAGUACCCUGUUGAAGCUUGAAGGUGAUGCUGAAGAAUCAUCAUCAGGAUAGAGAAGAGAGAGAGAGCUUUUGAUUCUGUUUUGUGGUGUCUAGGAUGAAGUUUUGAUUUCAGUUCCUUAUUCACAAUCUUCAUAUUACAAAGAC
rnacentral:lncRNA from 1 species